rnacentral:tRNA from 1 species
GCAUUGGUGGUUCAGUGGUAGAAUUCUCGCCUCCCACGCAGGAGACCUGGGUACGAAUCCCAGCUAAUGCA